CCUACGGGAGGCAGCAGUGGGGAAUAUUGGACAAUGGGGGCAACCCUGAUCCAGCCAUGCCGCGUGUGUGAAGAAGGCCCUCGGGUUGUAAAGCACUUUCAGUGAGGAAGAACGCCUGGUGGUUAAUACCCAUCAGGAAAGACAUCACUCACAGAAGAAGCACCGGCUAACUCCGUGCCAGCAGCCGCGGUAAUACGGAGGGUGCGAGCGUUAAUCGGAAUUACUGGGCGUAAAGCGCGCGUAGGUGGCUUGAUAAGCCGGUUGUGAAAGCCCCGGGCUCAACCUGGGAACGGCAUCCGGAACUGUCAAGCUAGAGUGCAGGAGAGGAAGGUAGAAUUCCCGGUGUAGCGGUGAAAUGCGUAGAGAUCGGGAGGAAUACCAGUGGCGAAGGCGGCCUUCUGGACUGACACUGACACUGAGGUGCGAAAGCGUGGGGAGCAAACAGGAUUAGAUACCCCUGUAGUC
rnacentral:rRNA from 1 species